rnacentral:rRNA from 1 species
GACGAACGCUGGCGGCGUGCUUAACACAUGCAAGUCGAACGGAAAGGCCUGCUUUCCCUUGUGGAUUGCGGGUACUCGAGUGGCGAACGGGUGAGUAACACGUGAGUGAUCUGCCCCCAACUUGGGUAUAAGCCUGGGAAACUGGGUCUAAUUCCCGAUAGGACUGCAGGGUGGUGCCUGUGGUGGAAAACGAUUUUCUAGUGGUUGGGGAUGAGCUCGCGGCCUAUCAGCUUGUUGGUGGGGUAAUGGCCUACCAAGGCGGCGACGGGUAGCCGGCCUGGGAGGGUGGACGGCCACAUUGGGACUGAGAUACGGCCCAGACUCCUACGGGAGGCAGCAGUGAGGAAUAUUGCACAAUGGGCGGAAGCCUGAUGCAGCGACGCCGCGUGGGGGAUGACGGCCUUCGGGUUGUAAACUCCUUUCGACCGCGAGGAAGCCACCUGGUUGGAAGGGUGGUGACGGUAGUGGUAGAAGAAGCACCGGCUAACUACGUG